AUGAGAAGCAGUUCUGUUGUCCGAACAUUGAUUAUCCAUACGGGUGGCGUAAGUGUCGUUUCAGAGAGUGGUUGUAUGGUCCUUUGUCCCAUUGGUCAGAGCCAGAGGUAAAGAAAAAGA